UUAUAAAACACAGACUCCUAUGAAAUGUGUUCUCUGUUUGCCUGGAACAAAAUAAGGUGAAAACUGCUUUCUGUUGACAGAUCUGCAGAAGCCAACUCUCUCUCUUUUCUCAAGUAAAUUGUGUUUCCCGGAACUUCCGCAUCUCCCUCCCAGGGGUGUCACCGUCAUUUUCACAGAAUUAAAAAAAAAAUCAAAAACCCAACUG